CACGGGGGGAGCAAGCGUUGUUCGGAAUCACUGGGCGUAAAGGGCUCGUAGGCGGCUCAGUAAGUCGGGUGUGAAACCUCCAGGCUCAACCUGGAGACGCCACUCGAUACUGCUGUGGCUAGAGUCCGGUAGGGGAGCAUGGAAUUCCUGGUGUAGCGGUGAAAUGCGUUGAUAUCGUUAGGAACUCCGGUGGCGAAGGCGGCACGCUAGACCUCUUCUGACGCUGAGGCACGAAAGCCAGGGGAGCGAACGGG
rnacentral:rRNA from 1 species